rnacentral:rRNA from 1 species
UGCCGCGUGCAGGAAGACAGCCCUCUGGGUCGUAAACUGCUUUUAUUCGGGAAUAAACCUACUUACGUGUAAGUAGCUGAAUGUACCGAAGGAAUAAGGAUCGGCUAACUCCGUGCCAGCAGCCGCGGUAAUACGGAGGAUCCAAGCGUUAUCCGGAUUUAUUGGGUUUAAAGGGUGCGUAGGCGGCUUAUUAAGUCAGGGGUGAAAGACGGUGGCUCAACCAUCGCAGUGCCCUUGAUACUGAUGAGCUUGAAUACACUAGAGGUAGGCGGAAUGUGACAAGUAGCGGUGAAAUGCAUAGAUAUGUCACAGAACACCGAUUGCGAAGGCAGCUUACUAUGGUGUUAUUGACGCUGAGGCACGAAAGCGUGGGGAUCAAACAGGAUUAGAUACCCUGGUAGUCCACGCCCUAAACGAUGAAUACUCGCUGUUAGCGAUACACAGUUAGCGGCUAAGCGAAAGCGUUAAGUAUUCCACCUGGGGAGUACGCCCGCAAGGGUGAAACUCAAAGGAAUUGACGGGGGCCCGCACAAGCGGAGGAGCAUGUGGUUUAAUUCGAUGAUACGCGAGGAACCUUACCCGGGCUUGAAAGUUAGUGAAUGAUCUAGAGAUAGAUCAGUGA